rnacentral:misc_RNA from 1 species
UUUCCGUUGGUGAACCUGCGGAGGGAUCAUUAUUGUAUAACCAAGUUCCAAACCCUUUCGCUCACCCCAAAUGUCGUCCACGCGCGAGUGCCCACACCCACAUCCAUCUCACCCCUCUCUGCAGCACCGCGUGGGUCUCCCUUUGUCUGUUUCGUAUGAGUACUCACAUUUACACACCAACUUUUUCUACAACGUAGAUUUUGUUUUUUGUUUUUACGAUCACCCAAUCAAUUCAACUAUCAACAACAGAUCCCUUGGCUCCCUCAUCGACAAAUCACA